GCAUGGAUCCCGUGUAAUCAAGGAGCUUAUUGCGUCAAGAUUAUUUUCCUCCUCUGGAUCAGUGUCGUGCACUCAAGGGAUUCAAUCUAGAAUCUUCUCACCUACAGUACAACCUAUGGAUGCCCGAGAUCGGUCGGGGCAUAACUAUGCUCAUCAGGUGAGUUUAUAAAAUAAGAAACCUGUUGUCUAAACAAACAUAAACAUGAAGGAGCCUAAUGUCAGUUGUCAACAUGCCGCUGGUUAAACCACUCCUAAAUCAAUUUUUGUAUGGGUAAAACAUGCCAGGGACCCUAUAUGGCAGGAUUAAUAUCUUUUCUUGAUUUCUUUUGUUGCUGCUCUGCCACAAUCUCCUGUUCAAGGAAGUACCUUGCCAAGCUAGCAUGUCCUGGCCGUUGUAGGUUAAAUAGAAUGGCGUGUGAAAUAAUUGGUGCUAUCAACUAGGAGUAAUCAUGGCAUUGUUGGGUAAUAUAGCAGUUAUUCUCUGCAUUGAUAUUAACGUCAACACAAAGGAACUCUCGCAUAUGUUUGCUUUGUCUCCAACCGGGAAAUAAUGUGUGCGUAUAUAUCCACUGGAACGGUAUCCGCGCUCCAUACUCGGCUC